UCAUUGUACAGGAUGGUUGCCAGCACACCAGUCAUUACUGAUUUUCCAAGAAGCAGAAAUGAGGAACAGGAGCAGAGUAAAGUAUUCCCCAUAAAUCAAGCACACUACUUCUGCUAACAUCUCUUUUAGCCACUCUACUGGUGUUACCCAUUCAAGUGGCUUUCAAAGAACACUUCCAACAGGAUACAUCUCUGCUAAACCAGGAGGUGACAAGGAGAAUUCGGUUCCGACAGGAAAAAUAUGCAAAGCUGCAGAUGAGGUAACAGAGGCUCAAAAAGGUCAAGUUGUAAGAAAUAGAAGAACCAGAUCCAUGUCAAAUCCAUGUCUCUCUCAUGUUAAAGACUUGCAUGUUCAAAUAGACCACACUUACCCACACUGACUACGCUUCCUCAAUAUAGUUCAAAUAUUUGCUGGAGAAAGUGCUGAAAAUUAUGUUUUGAAAAAUA